AACGAACGCUGGCGGCAUGCCUAACACAUGCAAGUCGAACGAGCCCUUCGGGUCUAGUGGCGCACGGGUGCGUAACGCGUGUGAACCUGCCCUUAGGUUCGGAAUAACUCCCCGAAAUGGGUGCUAAUACCGGAUAAUGUCUUCGGACCAAAGAUUUAUCGCCUUUGGAUGGGCCCGCGUUGGAUUAGCUAGUUGGUAGGGUAAAAGCCUACCAAGGCGACGAUCCAUAGCUGGUCUGAGAGGAUGAUCAGCCACACUGGGACUGAGACACGGCCCAGACUCCUACGGGAGGCAGCAGUGGGGAAUAUUGGAAAAUGGGCGAAAGCCUGAUCCAGCAAUGCCGCGUGAGUGAUGAAGGCAUUAGGGUUGUAAAGCUCUUUUACCCGGGAUGAUAAUGACAGUACCGGGAGAAUAAGCUCCGGCUAACUCCGUG
rnacentral:rRNA from 1 species